rnacentral:rRNA from 1 species
CACACACACACACACACACACACACACACACACACACACACAAACACACAUACACACACUGUUGUUUAGUUUCAGACUUGUGCCUGUGUGAAAAUUAGUUGAAUCUAUUCCCUAUAUACUGUGGUUGCUGUAGAAACCUGUUCAGUUUGUAGUAUCUUUGAUUUAUAUAUAGUGUUGUUGUGUUAAAUAGUUUUCUCCAUGUCCCAUUAUCUUAGUCUUGUCUUUUUCUUAUAUGUUAUAUAUAUGUGAUCUUACCCUGUUAUUUCCCUUUCGCUGUUGUUGAUCUUCUGUGUUAGAAUCUUAUAUUCUCAAGAAUUGUGAAAAUAUCAAAAAGACAGUGAACAAUAUCUUAACCUUUCCUAUACUUGUUUGUUUCUUCAUUCUCUAUAAUCUUCGGGAACAACUUUGUUUAGUUUAGGUUUAUAUUUCCUUGCAAUCAUCAUCUAAAUUCUGUCACCUAGCUUUAGCCGAGCGUAGUUGUCGUCGCCUAGUCCCUGUGGAGAACACGACAUCCGUAGUUUGGGCGUAAAACCCCCACUAUAAUACAAUUGAUCAUUUUGGCGACGUUGCCGGGGAACUAGCGUCGUGCGGCCGUGUUAGGCUAUAGACUAGGUUUUUCUUGUUUUCAUUUUGUGACAUAUAUUUGUGAUAUAUCUCUAGCCACUAACCCCUGUUCUAGUUAGUAUCUUUUUGUCUUCUUUUCCUUUUUUGCAGGUUGGAUUAUCCUCUUGGAAAUGGCAUUCUAUUCAGAUCAUCAGGCUUAUGCGAGGAACACUACAAACAGCACGGAAAGUAUUCAAGAAUUGAUAACUCGAUCUAGGAGGUGCUGGCUCAUGCUGGCUGGAACUAGGAUGCAACAGGGUUGAUGGAUCCAUGCCGCACAAGCACCUGUGCUCUGCUUUCUUCUUACUUUGUGUUCUAAUUUGCUUUCUUCUUAUUUUAAGUUUGCGAGAUGCAAAAAGAAGUUAAAAAAAUGUUGUGCCUGGAGUGAAUAUUAUUUGCUACCCCAUGAUGUACGUCUAUAGUUUCUCCCUCCAAAUGUGUUGGUCCAUGUGGUUGUAUUUUCUGUUUUUUUGUUUUGGAUCUACGAAAAAGGUUAUUGAAGCUCAAAUGUGAUAAGCACAUAAGUUCAGAUCUCUAAUGCUACAAAGUUCACGUAUACCUCUCUGUUUUAAUCAUGGCCUACAAAUUUUGCACUACGAGAAAGUUCAGAGGCAAGAACGUAGAAAAUAAAGAACACAAAAAUAUCAACAAAAAAUUCACUAGGAGAAAAGUUUAAGUCAGGAUAUGCAAGAAAAGCUCUUAUUUUAUUUCAGUUCAAUUUCAAAUUCUAGUUAAGUUUCAUUUCUUAUUUUAAUUUAGUCUAGUUUCUUAUUUUAGUUUAGUUCAAUAUCUAAUUUUUGUUCAGUUCAAUUCUUAUUUUAGAAAGAAAUUGAAUUGUUUCUUUGUCUACAUUCUUCUAUUCAACAUCAGGGAGAAGGUGCCUCAUGGUAAAAGCGUGCCAAGAUUUUCUAGAAUAAAAAUAAGAUGUAUGCAUUGCUUCUUGGCCCAGCUUGAGAGAACCCUCAUGUUAAAAAGUAUAAAGCAGUUUUGAAGCAACUCCUAGUGUCUUUAGAAGCAUUCAUGGUUAAAAAGCAACGACAACCUCAUCCAUUCAAGUUGAGCACUGGUCAUCGUCCAAGUUGAGCACUAGGUGCCGGCCAAGUUAAAAAAGAGUAGUAUGCAAGUAUAGAAGUUUGUUUUAGUGAGAAAAAUGCAUACUGUCUUCUAUAACUCGUUUCACUUCACGAUUUCUUCACUAGUUUGUUGUUUCCUAAUUAUCCUAAUUCCUAAUUGUUCUACUCAACUUUAGCGCCAUGCUCAGUACAACACCGUGGCUUCAGGGUGGCCGAGUUCGUCGCGACCAUCAGUUAAGAGACCUGCAUCACUGCGCGUGUCGCUACCAUGGCCCCCUUGUGUCACUGCGUGCUUCGUCAACAAGCCUCCUGCACAUGGAAAAGCAACAGGAGUCUGAGAUGCUCUGUUCUAGUGAGGUGGCUGAUUAUGUUAGUUUGUAAUACUUUGGCCGCGGUGUACUUAUGUAUCUUUUUCUGGCCGGAGCACGACCAGAGCUUAUGUCAGUACGAACUUUGAUUGUGAUGGUAAUACAAACUCUAUAGGGUACUUACCUUUUAUACAAUUCACAUGGAUUGUGCCCCUAUUACCAUGUGGUACAAAAAUGCACUAUGCUCACCAUUUUAUUUUAGUUCAUCAGUUUGUAAUACUUUAAAAAGAGGAGGUAAAAGUGAA